rnacentral:rRNA from 1 species
AACUGCUUUUGUACGGAACGAAACGGCCUGCUUUAAUACAGCGGGCUAAUGACGGUACCGUAAGAAUAAGCACCGGCUAACUACGUGCCAGCAGCCGCGGUAAUACGUAGGGUGCGAGCGUUAAUCGGAAUUACUGGGCGUAAAGCGUGCGCAGGCGGUUAUAUAAGACAGUUGUGAAAUCCCCGGGCUCAACCUGGGAAUUGCAUCUGUGACUGUAUAGCUAGAGUACGGUAGAGGGGGAUGGAAUUCCGCGUGUAGCAGUGAAAUGCGUAGAUAUGCGGAGGAACACCGAUGGCGAAGGCAAUCCCCUGGACCUGUACUGACGCUCAUGCACGAAAGCGUGGGGAGCAAACAGGAUUAGAUACCCUGGUAGUCCACGCCCUAAACGAUGUCAACUGGUUGUUGGGUGCAUUAGUACUCAGUAACGAAGCUAACGCGUGAA